CUGCCUCCUUUCGGUUCUGGGGUUGGGAGGUGAGCAGAUCCGAGUGCGCUGGCGGGGAGGCACAAUCUGACUAAUAUCGACCGUUUCCACUAGCCAUCCGCUUGAACUGACCUUUACCAUCUCUUUCUUUUUGUAGAUCCUUGACGCUAUGAGAGCAAAGUGGCGGAAGAAGCGUAUGCGCAGGCUGAAGCGCAAAAGGCGAAAGAUGAGGCAGAGGUCCAGGUGAACAACUGCUGAAGAUGCAGUACUGCUCAGGCUUUGUUGAGUCUUUACAUGGCAAAUGGACUCUGAUGCUAUUUCUACCUUUUAUGAAGAUCAUCCAUUUUGGAGGCACCUCAGAUGCUGGUCAUGGGAAGAUAUUGAACAUUGGUCUGUUGUACUGUUCCUUUGUGUAUAGUAGUUGUGGAAUAAAAUACAAAACUCA